rnacentral:misc_RNA from 1 species
UCACCCCUCAAGCCCGGCUUGUUGUUGGACGACGGCGGUCGUAUCCCGAUUGCCCGCCCCAAAGAUAAUGACGGCGUCUGUGAGGACUCCAGUACACUGAGCUUCUUCGGAGCACGUAUUGGCCAGAAGUCCAGGCCCGGUCAAUCGACCUUACUUUUAGAA